rnacentral:rRNA from 1 species
CCUACGGGUGGCAGCAGUGGGGAAUAUUGCACAAUGGGGGAAACCCUGAUGCAGCGACGCCGCGUGAGUGAAGAAGUAUUUCGUUACGUAAAGCUCUAUCAGCAGGGAAGAAAAUGACGGUACUUGCGUAAUAAGCCUCGGCUAAAUACGGCCCAGCCGCCGCGGCCAUACGUAGGGGGGAAGAGUUAUCCGGAAUUAUUGGGUGUAAAGGGAGCGUAGACGGUGCGCCAAGUCUGGAGUGAAAUGCUGCAGCUUAACUGCGGAACUGCUUUGGAAACUGGCGAACUGGAGUGCAGGAGGGGUAAGCGGAAUUCCUAGUGUAGCGGUGAAAUGCGUAGAUAUUAGGAGGAACACCGGUGGCGAAGGCGGCUUGCUGGACCGUAACUGACGUUGAGGCUCGAAAGCGUGGGGAGCAAACAGGAUUAGAUACCCUAGUAGUC